rnacentral:misc_RNA from 1 species
AAUAGCAUCUAUUUAAUCAAUAAAAGAAAAUUAAAAUAACAAAUAGUAUUGAGCAAUAGUCAAAAGCAAAGCAAAAAGAAAAGAAAGGAAUUUGUGUCAUGUUCAUGAUUUCUAUGACCUGUGAUGGUGAGAGUUUGUUUUCUGUUCAUUUAUUUUUCGUGGAUGCAUUUUCCUUUUAAGUUUUUGAAUAAUGUUUCAUAAUAAUCACCACAACUUUCAACAACUAUAUGAGAAUGAGGAAGAAAAUAAACAUGCAUGUGCAAAACAUAUAAUCAUAGAAUAUAAAUACAUGAUAAAAACAACAAAGGUUACCUCCAAGAAAAUGAAACAAAUUAAACAUCAUAAAUUUUAAAAAAGAAAAUAUAAAGUGAAAAUGAACAAUUCAAAAACCAUUCAAAGCAAAUCAACAAAAGGAAUAAAA